AAUCAACGCUGGCGGCGUGCCUAACACAUGCAAGUCGGACGUGAAAGGGGUUUCGGCCCUGAGUAGCGUGGCGGACGGGUGAGGAACGCGUGGGUGACCUGCCCUGCAGAGGGGGAUAACCCUCCGAAAGGGGGGCUAAUACCGCAUGAGCCCGAGAGGGGAAAGACGGUGAGUCGCUGCGGGAGGGGCCUGCGUCCGAUUAGCUGGUUGGUGGGGUAAGAGCUCACCAAGGCGACGAUCGGUAGCCGGUCUGAGAGGACGGACGGCCACACUGGGACUGAGAUACGGCCCAGACUCCUACGGGAGGCAGCAGUUGGGAAUCUUCGGCAAUGGGCGCAAGCCUGACCGAGCAACGCCGCGUGAGUGAUGAAGGUUUUCGGAUUGUAAAGCUCUGUCUUCCGGGACGAUAAUGACGGUACCGGAGGAGGAAGCCACGGCUAACUACGUGCCAGCAGCCGCGGUAAGCAUACUCGUA
rnacentral:rRNA from 1 species